CUUGAAACAUAAAAAUAUGUUGCAAUCUUGACUGCAGAACAUGGGACUAGGGUCAAAGUUUGUACCAAAAAAUCAUUCCUUAUUAUGCUCAGAUCAUUUCGAAGGAAAAUGCUUUCAAUAAGGUACAAAUAAUAGAUGUCUUCGCAUCGGAAGUAUUCCAACAUUAUUUGGAGAAUACAAAUCGGUUUGUGUUUACUGUCACGCAGUGGAAGGACAUGAUGAAAAACGAUCAUUCCGCAAAUUUCCCUUGGACAAUCCAAAAUUGCUGAAGAAGUGGGUAGCUGCAAUGAAGUUGACAGAUUUUCUUCCAACUGGGAAGAGUUGGUUGUGUGGUGAUCAUUUCGAUGAAAAAUGUUUCCGAUCGUCAGGUCGAGGUUUAGUACUUAAAUGCGGUGCCAACUUUGUUUUCAUCUGAAGACAGUGGAGGCACUUCUGUAGUACAGCAAGAGAACACAAGCAAUACAACUGACGAAGUAGAUAAUACUAAUAGUAAUCAAUCAACUCGGCAACAAGGUGUAAAGCGUAUUUCAACAGAGUCUUCUACUCCUCCUUCUAAGAUUCGAAGAACUAGCAGUCCUUGUACUAGCCCAUCAAUUCAUUCAAGGAACGAAGCUGUGAUAGAAUUACGUGAGAACAAAAAAAAAAUUUAGAAAAUGUAAUGUUUACGUCAAACUGUAAUAACACUUAAUUAUGAUGAUAUUAUGUACCACCAUCUAUUACAUCAAUUGCAGAAAAAUUAAAUGGUUCAAUUUGUAGAGAGAUGCCCGAAACACCAAGAAGUAUU